GUUAAUGUAGCUUAAUAUUAAAGCAAGGCACUGAAGAUGCCUAGAUGGGUUAAGAAACUCCAUAAACA
rnacentral:tRNA from 1 species